rnacentral:lncRNA from 1 species
AAUAAGCAUUAGGAGCACGUAGGCAUAUACAUUAGACGAUGAGUUCCUCCUCCUUGUGGGUCUCGAUGACGACGUCGGAGGUGGGGUAGGCGGCGCAGGUGAGCACCCACCCGGCGGCGACCUGGUCGUCGUCGAGGAAGCUCUGGUCGGACUGGUCGAUGCUGCCGGAGACGAGCUUGCCGGCGCAGGAGGAGCAGGAGCCGGCGCGGCACGAGUAGGGCAGCUCGAUCCCUUCCUCCUCGGCGUGGUCGAGGAUGUAGACGUCGUCGGGCACCUGGAGCUCCACCUCGCCGUCGGGAGUGAUGAGCUUGACGUUGUAGGUCGCCUGCGCGCGCAGCCUGGCUCCGCGGGGAGCCUUGGCCGGCAGCGGGACGGUGGACGGCGCCGGCGCCGGGGCCGCGCGGAGGGCGAAGCAGGCAGGCGCGCGGAGGCUGCUGAGCACGGUGGCCAUUGCGGACUUGCGGCGUGUGUAGUGAAGGGAGAGCUUGGAGCUGGAGGAGUUGGAGCUAUUAGCAGAGGCGAGCAGCAGCUAAUGAUGAUAGCUUAUAGGUAGCUAAAAGCGAGAUGAGGUGAAAUGAAGGGUCGGGGUGGGUGUAGCGUGAAGGGGAGGGCGGGAGGCUUAUCUUCUUGGUCGGGACCAGGACGACAUCCGUGGGGGAAAUCAACUACUCGAAAGUCGAAAUACAGCAGGGCCACACGCUAGACUCCAAACGUCAUCGAGAAUUCUCCGACCAUGAAUUUCACCAUGAAAUUCGCUAGUAAAAAUAUAACUUCUCCUCACCGAUCACAUUUGAAUCCGGUACUAAUGUUAAAAUUUGCCGGAGGUCCUUUUGUACCGAGUGGGGUUUCCAAUUGGUACUAAAGUCCCCUUUUAAUGGUUGGAAACCCCACCCAAUACUAAAGCCCCGUCUGCCGCCGGCCCUCCCCCACUCACACGCGCCUGCAUUAUCUCCUCAUCCAGUACACUUCUCCUUCUCUUCUCUCAUACUCCCUCUCCUCUUCCUAUCCUCUACUCUCCUCCCUCACACUCCCUCUCCCAGAUCUGCCUCUCCUCCGCUCGCCCCUCACCGACGAUGAGGAGUGGCGGCGUCGGGCCGGGGCGGCUGCGACGACGCAGGAGGGGCGCGGCAGCGGGAGCAGUGGGGUGGAGCAGGGAGCGGAGAGGAGGCGGUGAUGGGAGAGUGCAGCAGAGGAGGGGGAGGAGGAGGAGGAGGCGGAGGGGGCUGGCGGCGGGCGGAGGGAGGCCGGGACCGGCGGGGGAGGGGGGGGUUCUUCUUUUUUAAUUUUUUUAACACCCUCUAGUACAAGUUAUCUCAAUCGGUACUAGAGGAUCCCCCUCGAGUACAGGAUUGCUACCAGUUGCAGAAUCGGUACUAGAGGGGGGUUGGGAACCGACAAUAGAGGUUAUUUUUUAUAGUGAUUACUCAAAAUAGUGACAGAGAAAGUAGUAUUCAUUGUAUUCUCACGUACUCCCUCCGUUUAUUUUUAUAAGGCGUGAUAUGGCAUGGCACGUACUCCCAAAUUACACUUUGAUCAUUAAUUUAUCUUAUAUUAUAUUGUUUAUGACUAUAAACUUAUAAUCAUUGGAGAAUACAUUUGAUUGCAAAUCCAACCAUUUCAAAUUUAUACCAUAAAAAUAAAAAAAUAUUGGUUAAAUUAUUAGUCAAAGAUAGCAAACUUUUACAUUUGAUAUGCGCAUACGCCUUAUAUACAAACAUGAACGGAAGGAGUAGAAAAUAGACUGUGUGCGCCAGUCACUGCCCAUUGGUUGGUUGAGCGUGGCGUGUGGAGGCCACGGCCUCGAUCCAGGGCAUAUGCUUCUUUCGGUCCUUAGCAGUUGGCGGUAUCACGUGGUUCUCGUCAAUUUUUGUGUAUCUGGCCAGAGAUCUAAAUUACAUGUAAUUUUACAUGUAUGAAAAAUUAGUCAGUUCGCUGGUUAGCUUUCCAUGCCAACCAUGGAUCUCUUUUCUCUUUUCUUUUCUUUCUCUUCUUUUCUUCUCUCCCUGGUGAUGAGUGAUGGGUGGGUGGGUGGUCAGCAAAAACUAGCGAGCCUGCUGCAAAAACUAUGGCAUGGAAAGCUAACCAUCGAUAUAGUAUCAGUAUAAAAACUAGUGCCUGCUCCGUUAGAUUAGGUGGAAAACUCUAGUCAGUUCGCUACUGAACUACGGAUUGAUAAACUUUAGAUGGAAUACUCUAAGGAAAAAGUUACGAUAAUCCGUGCGCUUGCGAUUCACAAAUUGAUGCGCUAACUGCCGCCAACAAGCUUUUCCGGUGCUGUUGCCAGGGAUCAGCAACUCGAACCCUAGGGUGAGACUAACUCUAAUUUUUCUAUUGCAUAUCCUGUUUUUCUUGUUUGCGUCCUUAAAAGCAAGUAAAUACUAGACGUCAUAUAAUCGAACAUGGACUUUCAAGUCUCAAUUCACUCCGAUAAGAUGAUAACAACAUCGAGCUCAACUCUUUAGCAGUAGGUGAUAACUUGUUAGUGGCCCAACAUCUGUUAUUGAGUCCACACCAAUGAACACAAUACAAAUGCUUAUAAGCAAGUGGCACAUAAUCUGAGAUGGGCUUAGCAAGUGGUAAAACCAUGGUGUUGGGAUAUGAGGAUGUCCAGUUAACAGAGGUGAAAAACUAAUCAAGUUGCUCAAGUAAAGGAUCUUGCUGCAUGUUGCUCCUGGUAAAAGUCCUUCACUUAAUUGGUAAUUCAAUGAGGCCCAGCUGCCCAAUGACGUCAUUAAAUAGCAAGGUAUCCAGAAAAUUACCACCCAAUUUGUUCAUGUCAUCCAGAGAUAUGUAGAAAUUGAAAUCCCCUAGGAAGAUCCAAUUAUCCUCGGCCUGGUAAGACAAGGGGUGGAGGAAGGUUGUGAGCGUGAUACUAAAGGGUGCUUGUGUUGGUGUGUGUGGGGGGGGGGGAGGAUGGGGAUAGUGUCGCAUCUCAAAUGAGCUAGUCCUCUCAUUUGACAACCUCAGCCAUCAUAUUUGGAUCCAGUGAUUGCUUUCUUUUCUAUCUCCUCUCAAUCUGCAUUUUGUCUUCCUUGUAACUUCUCAGUUCUCAUGACAUUCUCCCAUAACCAGCACUUCUCAGUUCUCACAACAUUUCCCCAUGACUAGCACCUCCCGUUGGGCAUCUCCUCCCAACCAGCCUAACGGUAUCCCUCAUUGUCCCACCUUCCAGCGUGUUGUCUGCAGUCGCUACUAGCUUAGGCUAGGUUGCAGCCCUAACUGAGCUUUCUUUAAAGACCAGGGGACUACCUCCAAAACACUAUAUUCCAAAGGAAAUUCACCGUGUUGUAUGUCAAUUGAAUCUUGCUUCACUUCCAGGAGAUUGAGAUACGAGAAGUAUUGUCAAAUUAAUCCAUUUUGAAUAGGGUUCGACGAAUAGUGACAUGAAGGGGGACUAUGCACAUGGUAGGGGCAAAGGAACUCACAAGCUUUGAUAUGAGGUAGGGUUCGACGAAUAGUGACAUGGAGGGGGACUAUGCACCUGGUAGGGGUAAAGGAACUCUCAAGCUUUGAGAUGAGGUAGGCUAAGGCAAGAGGCGGAGAGAGGGUGCGAGGGGUGCUUGCGAUUGUGUGGUGUGUGGGAGGAUGGGGGUUGGCACAUGUUGAGGAAGUUUUGUAUACAUGUUAUAAUUUGUUGGUUUGGGCCUUAGGUUUCUAUCCAAGAGCAACAAAAAAUUUUGAACAAACAUUUCAAAAAUAAAUUAAAUUUGAAUAACUCUGUCACACACAUAUAUCCCCGUUGAUCUUGGUGGUCACGAUAAACUAGCUAGCCAAGUCCACACAUGCUUUCUUUUGAAUCAUUUUAUAGCAUGGCAUAACAAAUAGCAUCAGAUUCAGACGACUACUCAAGCUGCAUUUCCGUAGCACGUUUAGUCAGGUACAUACGUACACACACACACACAGAUAUAUAGUAUAUAUAUGUAUUGGUUGUACAAAAAUAAAGAGGAAAAACGUUAUUAAUUACUUGAGCGAAGCCUAUCAUGCAUCCGCAGUAAAAAUGAAUGAUACAGAGACCAGCAAUAAGCAGAGUAACAAACGAUGGAGAAGCUGCUGAUGCCGAUGCUUAAUUGCAAGGUCUCAUGGUGACACUGACAUGCAUGAUACAAGAAAGGGAAUUGUCCGGCGUCGUCAAACUCGAUCUCUUGCAAGAGCAAGACAGAUACUAGAUAUAGCAAGCGCGUAGCAGGUAGUGAUCGAGCUUCUUAGAUGAGCUCCUCCUCCUUGUGCGUCUCGAUGACGACGUCGGAGGUGGGGUAGGCGUGGCAGGUGAGCACCCACCCGGCGGCGACCUGGCCGUCGUCGAGGAAGCUCUGGUCGGACUGGUCGACGGAGCCGGAGACGACCUUGCCGGCGCAGGAGGAGCAGGAGCCGGCGCGGCACGAGUAGGGCAGGUCGAUCCCAUCCUCCUCGGCCUGGUCGAGGAUGUAGACGUCGUCGGGCACCUGGAGCUCCACCUCGCCGUCGGGGGUGAUGAGCUUGACGUUGUAGGUGGCCUGCGCGCGCAGCCUGGCGCCGCGGGCGACCUUGGCCGGCAGCGCGACGGUGGCCGGCGCCGGCGCCGGGGCGGCGCGGACGGAGAAGGCCGGCGCGCGGAGGCUGCUGAGGGCGGUGGCCAUUAUUGUGCUUUGUGGUUGCUAGGUAGCUGCAGCAGCUGAAGCAAUGGAAGAAUCGGCCACACACACCUAGGGAUUAGGGAAGGAAUGAAGGAGCAAUGGAGGGGCGGGUGGCCGGCCAGCGAUUUAUCGAUAGAGAGGAAGGAGGGGGUGGGGUGCCACGUGGCGGGCGGCGAGUGGGCGGCUUAUCUGCGGCGGGAUCGCCGGAGCAAGGAGGUUCACACGCUGCUCAUCGUCAUCGAUGGGCGUGUGGAGGCCACGCAUACAGAUCGAGCAAGAACAUGUUGGUGCUCUGAGCUAGAACAGUGCAAUGUGCUACUGUCCACACAUUUGGCUGUGGUUGGUUUUUGGCCGGAUUGAGGUUUUAAGGUCACGGGAUCACUGCGAUGCAGAGGCCACUAGCUUGCUUGCGCCUUUGAUGGGUGGUUUGUGGCCAUCAUUGUUGGCAGAGUUCUUUGAUUGUGAACACACAUCUAAUAAAGUGCUAUCUAUCACACCAAUCAUCCUAACUUGUUUCUUCUAAACACAUUAAUUACAGAUGUACAGACACAUAUACAUGUACGCACAUACAGCUUCAUUAUCACAUAUUGGCAUGUCAAGUCUUGUGAUUGAAAAGGCCACGCUUGCCACAUUCCUAAAAUAAACUCAGUAAAAUGCAAGUAAAUCUGCUAAGCCUAGAAUUUAGAAUAGAAUUUAGCGGCAGCUGGUUAGACUCAUUGUGGUGGAACCUACCCAUCCGGAUUCGAUCCGUUAACUCGGCACAGGCGUUCAUAUUUUCUUGAAUUUAGGAAGAAAUUGAUACUAUACUUUCAGGGCUACGUGCUUGUCGAUAGUGAGUUGUUAGUCUAUCCAAGGUGCUCAUAAGGGUAGGAGUACAUGUGUAUAUAUGUAGAGGUAAGUAUGUGUGCGUGUAUGUGAGCAUUUGCAUCUGUACUUUACUAUUCGAAUUUUUUUUUUAUAGUCCAGCACGCUGAGGGGUGUUUCAACUCAAAUUUGAUGUUUAUUACGAUGUUGGGCUGGGGAAACGUGCUGCUUUCCUUUUGUGGGCUUUUAGUACUGGCAUCGGCGGCGGCGCGUGAAUGUCUAAUUAUUCAAAAAAUUAGACAUCACAUCCCAAAUGAUGGCCCAGCCCAGUACGUGCCUACCCGGCCUGUCAGUUUGAAGCCAAGCACGUAUGCAGUAUGAACGUGCUGGAUGCCAUUCCUGUCUGCUGCUGUUUGCUGCUGGUUCAGGUUGGAGGUUGUUGGUCAAUGAAAAUGAGAGACAACGCGGAGAAGAAAUCAACAACGCGUUAUGCAUUCGAUGGAUGCAUGUCGUCGUUCUUGUAAUUAACAUUGUUUGACUUGAUAUAAUUUUUGUAGCUUUUUUAAUAAUGAAUAGUAAUUCCAGCUUCGGUCCCCUUCGAAGAGGAGCUUCGGUCCAAAUUUAUUACAGAACGUAGCACACUGCUACUUGUCGGGAGGAGUUUCAGUCCAAAUUUAUUACACAACGUAGCACACUACUACUUAUCACAACAGGUUCAGACAAAUGUAAACCACUCAAAAAUCAGUUGUUAAAUUGAAGGACUAUCCAUUGGAACUAAAAAACGCAGUGCUGCCAUUUCCAAAGAACAACAUGCCAUUCACUGGAACUAAAGAAACGCAGUGCUGCUAUUUCCAAAGAACGGCAUGCCGAAACAACGGAUUCUUGGUCAUUCUCACUUUGCUGCAACUCGAGGCCAAUGCGUUCCCCUGAAUAGUACAUGAAAAAAAAAGUUUUCGGUCAGCAUUUAUAAAAACCACCUCAUUUCUAGUCAACCAUAUCGCCCAGCAUAAAGCUGCACUCCCCAUCAAUAAAUAAUGAUUUGGCUUGUGUCCCCCUUGUUUAGCCCAUUGGUUAAACAUAUUGCUUAUAUUCAUCGGUGGAGAUAAGCCAAAUACCAUAUGAACAGCACGUCGGAGAAGUUUGGCAUAAUGACACUUGAAGAAAACAUGGUCGAUGGACUCCACUGAACUACAAAAGCUACAAUAUUUGUUCCCAUUCCAAUUUCUCCGAGCAAGGUUAUCUUUUGUUAAAAUAACACCAUUUUUUAGAUACCACAUGAAGAUCUUAAAUCUUUAAAAGUAUUAUCAUAUGCCAAAUUUCCUAUGUGACUUUAAUCCCAUUACUGACGAGAUGUUUAUACAUAGAAUGUACAGUGAAUGAGCCAUUUUUAUGAAGGGACCAAUUAAAAGUAUCUCUCCCUUCGCAUAGGUUGACAUGUAUAAUUUUACCCACCAGGUUGUACCAUUCUAGUAGCUUAAUCCCCACUAGUGAUCUCCUGAAGGAAAUAUUUAGUGGUGUAGCAUAGAAGACAUCAGCCACUGUAGCAUGUUUCUUUCGCACUGUAUGGUACAAGUUAGGAUAUUGAGACUUUAAUGUCCUAUUUCCUAACCAUUAUCCCCCCCCCCAAAUCGGGUUUGUGCCCCAGGCAUAACCUUAAAGCGCCCCAAAUUGAGGAAGUCCUCCUUGACGCCCAUUAAACCCAUCCAAAACUGUGAAUCACCCGGUUUCUUAUAUACCUGGCCUAGAGGUUUAUUUCUAAGGUAUUUCUUCCUUAGUAAAUCCUGUCAAAUUCCCUCCUCAUUACAAAGUUUAAACAACCACUUGCUUAGUAGACAUCUAUUUUGUGUCUCUAAGUUCAUUAUCCCCAGGCCCCUAAUCCUUCGGGUGACAUAGUAAGUCCCAUUUCGCUACUCUAUAUUUUUUCCUGUGCUGAUCAUUCUGCCAAAAGAACCUUGACCUGAAGUGCUCUAUAUUUUUAGGACUCCCUUCGGGACCUCAAAAAAUGGCAACAUGAACAUGGGUAAGCUGAUUAAUACAAAGUUAAUCAGCACUAAUCAUCCCCCAACCGAGAACAUCUUUCCUUUCCAUCCACUAAGUCUUUUUUCAAAUCUACCUUCAAUAGUCCUCCAAUCCUUAUUACUUAGUUUUCUAAAGUGCAUUGGUAUGCCCAAAUAUCGAAAAGGGUAAGAGCCUAGUUUACAACCGAACAAAAGUGAGUAUGUAGACUCUUGCUCCCUUGCUUGUCCAAAGCAGAAGGUCUCAGUUUUAUGAAAAAUUAUUUUAAGACUACAUAAUUGUUCAAACAUACAUAAAAUCAGCUUCAUAUUUUUUACUUGUUCAAUAUCAUGGUCCAAAAAAAUCACCGUAUCAUCUGCAUAUUGCAAAAUCGAGAGCCCGUCUUCUAUUAAUUAAAUGUGGAACUACCCCUUUUACCUAUUCUUCAUUUUCAGCCCUUGCAAUGAUUAUCGCUAGCAUGUCCACCACUAUAUUAAAUAGUAUGGGAGACAGCGGAUCUCCUUGCAUGAGGCCUUUCCUUGUUUGGAAAAAAGGACCCAUCUGGUCAUUAACUUUAAUACCGACGUUCCCCCAUAGUGAAGGCUUUAAUCCAAUUACACCAUGUGGUUGAAAAAACCUUUCGUACUUAACGUUUGCUGUAAAAAUCCCAUUUCACCUUAUCAUAGGCUUUUUCAAAAUCUAUUUUAAACACUAUACCAUUUUGCUUCUUAGUAUGUAGCUCAUGCAAGGUUUCAUGUAAGAUGACAGCUCCUUCCAUUAUAUUUUUUCUUGGUAGGAAAGCUGUUUGUGACGGUCUAAUAAUCUUUUGUGCUACCUUGGACAUUCUGUUUGUGGCUACUUUUGUAAAAGUUUUGAAGCUCACAUUCAGUAGACAUAUUGGUAUGUACUGUUGAAUUUGCUUCGCUACACUACGCUUCACUAUAAUUUUUGUAGCUAGUUGUAGCAACCAAUUCCAUGCUUUUUUUAGUGCGUUGCUUGGCUAAAAAAGAGUGAGAUUUUCAGAACAGGUAUACACUACUAGCUACUCCCUCCAUUCCAAAUUGUAGGUCAUUUUGACUUUUCUAGAUUCAUAGAUAUUAUUAUGCAUAUAGACAUAAUUACGACGGUGAAAGCAUCUAUGCCCCUAAUUUGAGUUUUGGUAAUUAAUGACAACCUUCGUGGACUAACAAUUUCAUUGGAGAUAUGAGUUUAGGUUAGUCCCGGAAUUGAAUUGAGUUUCAAUGGAUGCUAUGGUGAUAGCUUGGAUGAGUUUACAAUAGAAAGCUUAAGGCAAAGGUAUAUGGUAGGGCUUUUCUAUUUUACCGGUCAAGAGGUGUUUAGUGGAUGAUAAUUGACCGGGUUAAUAGGCUAGAUAGCCCUACUAUCAAGAGGGGUCAAUUUUAUUUUCUUGACGGUUCAAUACUGCCACUUUGCUCAAACAAUUGCAUUGCAUGCAUAUAGGUCUAUCUUGUUUGAAAAGUGGGUAAAAUGAUGGUAAACAUAUGUUUUGAAAAUGGCUAACAUGAUGUGUAAGGAGGAUGGUCUCCUUUGUGAAGGCGGACCGUUAUUUGACUUUGCCAUAUCUUUGAAAUAGUUUUGUUGCACUAAAAAUCUAGAGGGCGGACGGUCCGACCCUGAGUAGGCAGACGGUCCGCCACAUGACUUGUUUUUAGAUAGAACCGGUUCUUGUUCUGGUGGGCGCAGGUUUAUAAAGGUGGACGUUCCACCCCCGGUUGGCGGACGGUCCACCACAUGAUCAGAAAUUUGUAUAGAACCAUUCUUGGUUCUGUGUGGGGCUGCGAUGUGAACGGCGGACGGUCCGGAUGUUGGUAUUUAGACCUGAUAACCUACCGAGGGGGGUGCCGAGGUAGUGUUUUAGUUAGUGGAGCUUGUCGAGAUCAGGAACUCGAAGGUAAACGCAGACACACGAUUUAGAUAGGUUCGAGCCACUAGAUUGCAUUGAAGGGGUCCCUACCUCACCUUAUAUUGCUGGGGGGUAGGGUUACAAGUCGGUUGGUUACAAGAAUACAGAGGAGUUCUACUCUUAUUACAACAAGUACUUUCCUAAUGCUCAACUAGUUCCUAUCUUUCCAUGUAGAGUACGUCGUCCUGCGUUAUGGUCUCCAUGUCAGAUGCGUCUCGGUGUCCAGCCCCAUAUUCAGGACUGUCCAAACCUACUGGUGGGCCCAUAGAUGCAUGUACGGCACCGGUCCCUAGGGGCGGACGGUCCGCCAGCUAACUUUGAGAGUUAGACAGAACCAUUUUAGUUCUGAGUGCUGGGCGAAGUUGUAAGGCAGACGGUCCGCCAGUUUUGGAUGGACGGUCUGCCGUACAAAUCUUCAUCAUGGACAUGUCUAGCAGCUCCCUGUGUGCUUGUAAAUUUGAACCGCAGAUGGUCCGCGCCUGUAAGGGUGGACGGUCCCCCUGUGCUGCAACUGUCAUUUCUAGCAUGCAUUUAUUGCGCUUGUAGCUAUUGGGAUGAACGGUGGACGGUCCACGCUCAUAGAGGCGCACGGUCUGCGAAUCCCCUGUUUUCAUGAGUUUUGAACAUAACGGCUAGAUUUGGGGAAGGCUCUAUGAAAGGAUCAUGCCCGGGCGUGGGAGAGCUCUCUUGGCACUUUGGAAAGAAUUCUUGACAUACUUGUGCCUUCUUCCUUCUCUCUCUUACUCACUUUGCUUAGAGGUUGAAUUCUUGUGAGAUUGAAAGUAUCCUAGUGCAUUGCAUCAAGAGUUUGAGCUUUGUGGCAUUAGGGAGUCUUCAAGCAAGCGUCAUCGACUUGUUACUCUUGGAUGUUGCUGCCUCCUAGACGGCUUGGAGAUUGUGGAGCCGUUGAGCCCUUCAAGAAGAUUGUGAAGGAGCCUCGGCUAUUCUUUCCUAGACGGCUUGGAGAUUGUGGAGCCGUUGAGCCCUUCAAGAAGAUUGUGAAGGAGCCUCGGCUAUUCUUGUGAGAGGUCCUUGUGCUUACCUCGUUGGAGUGGUGAAUAGCAACUCUAGUGGAAUCGAAGUUUUGUGAGAUUCUUUGAAUCAAGCCGGCUCAAGAUCAAGCGAAGUCUUAGUCGGUGUUUUAUACUCGUCAACCUACCGAGGGGUAUCCCGAGGUAGUAGAUUGGUUGGUGGGGGAUCGCCGGAUCUGGAACUCGAAGGUAAAAGCGAGGACACAAGACACAUAUUUAUACAUGUUCAGGCUACCAGAGUAGCGUAAUACCCUACGUCCUGUUUGGGGUGUUGUAUAUUGGGCCCUACGCUUGGGUGUUGUUUGAUGUGAGGAUUUGGUCCUCUAUUGUGGUUCUCUGAGGUCUUCGCCUACCGAUCUAGGCACCCCUACCCUCCUUUAUAUACUUAGGGGUGGGAUUACUAGUCGGUUACAAGGUAGGAGUCCUAGUAGGAUUACAAGGUAUGAGUCCUAGUAGGAUUAUAGAGGAAUCCUAGUAGGAGUCCGUCUUCUUCCUUCCUUGCAGGUACUAGGGAUCUAUCCCCGACAGUCUUGAUAGAGGAGCGGUUGAAACAUUGAAUCUACCUCAACGUGGAUUAGGAGUGACCGGCAAGUUAUCGACACCACGGGAUAAAUUCGUCUCUUGUCUUCGGUUAUUUCUUUGCUCAAUUUUCAUAUCGCAAUUUACUUUGAGGAAUUACAUUCCUAGAGAUUGAAUUGUAUCUCGUCACCCUAGGUUGCAAACCAGCACCUAGCUUUAAAAAAGAGUAGAAAUAUAAUUUCUCUUGUGUUACUAAUUAAAUUUAUUUAGUGUUGUGAUUUUAGUUAAAACUGUCUAUUCACCCUCCUUUAGUCGGUAUCCUAGAUCCUACAAACGGCCGAUUAUUAGAAACGACUGAAAAUUUGGAACAAUUUGGAACGAAGGAAGGAAGUAGAUCGAGAUCAAAACCGAUGUCACAUCUACAAAGUAGCUUGUCACCAUCCAAGCAGUGCUUGCUUUCUAUGCGGUUAAUUACGACGGCACGCAGAGAUAGAUAUUUGUUUCUAAAUUGAUCGAAAGAUAUCAUCACCGCCGAUUAUUAGAAGGUCUUAGUUGGAUUAAUAAUGAGUCUGUGUCUGUUUCAUGAGUUUUCACGGAUACCUAGUCCUACAACUCGAUCAAGCUGCAUGCGCAGCUGUCAAGCCCGGGACAGAUCAAUCCAGUGAUCGAUCGAUGGGCGCAUCAGAUAGAUCAAUCAUCAGGCAUAUGGAUGGAUGGAUUCCUUCCUCGUCAGGAUACUUCGUUUUCAGUUUGCCAUCUGUCGUGUUGCUUUUCAGACAGCAGUUGCAUGUAUCUUGUAAUUUGCUACUACUACCUCUCUCUCGAUCGUGUUGCUUCUCUACCAUCAUGUUCCCUCAUCCACAAGCAAAAUGGUCGAUGACUAGGUUGUUUCUUUCGUACAUAGUAAAGGACGAAGCCAAGAUAAAAAUGUUACUCCCUUCGUCCAUAAAUAUAUACAUAAAUAUAUACGAAGGUUAGAACAAAAUAGUAGUUAGUUAUACUUAAUAACAGCACCGAAAAUCUUUUAUUCAAUUACAAAAGUAGAGGAAAAAGCGCAAGGCAUUUUCACUUUCCCCCAAAUCCACUCAAUUUGGCCUGCACAAGAAAUAAAACACAUAUUGGCCUGCUUUAAGUAAUUUCUUGGCUGUAGCUUUGUUUCCACGCACAUGUCUCGUGCUCUACUACAUCGUUUAGUUAAUCAUACAAGAUAGCGUGUACGCAUACAGAGUAUAUAUUAAUCUGGUGUCUUUCUCUUCAGACAUGUCCGUAUAUAUUUUACUAUAUGGUAGUACGACAGCAAUAACAUACUAAUACUAUAUCGAUGCAUGGUUAGCUCCUGACUUGAGACAGUAGCAACUGAUUAUGCAUUAAAAAGAGUCUAAUUUAAUAAAGAAACAGAGAGAGAGAGAGAGAGAACUUUCCCGAGAACAGAUUAACAAUCUUUUGUACGUGACGUGAAGAUUGCUCCAACAAAGAUGGAAAUGGUCUCAGUCAAACCAUGCACGCUCUCUAUUUUUUUUUAAAUUGUUAUUAUAUUUUAGUGACAUCCAGUCAUGCUUCAGGUACACAUUGUGUAGCUCCUCUCUAAUUACCGUUAUUAGCUUCGAUAGAAUCCAGAUUUAUUUAACUAGGGUUAACUUUUAGAAAUGAAAAUGGUAAAAAUGUUGGGGCCAGAAAAUUUAUUAUCUGCAUUUUAAAUGGUGACAAAAUGUAUGCGCCGAUUCUCAGAAGGAAAUACGACGGGAGUAUAUGUUAUACCACCGCAGCAUAUAUCUAUUCCAAGGAAUAUUCCUGCCCAUCUUAGUGGUCAUCACUUGAUAAACUGAUAAUGAUGAUCUCCAAUGAAAUAAGGGUUAAUUAAGCACUUAAGAUCGAAUUAGGUCCAUAUAUAUUCGUACUUGUUGUAUUGGAUUUAAUCAUUUUUGCUUUGCUUAUAAGCAAGUCAAUUCGUUCUUGCCUUUUUCUUUUCUCUCCUUGUCCUGGACUCGUUGUCAGGGGAUCACAUAUGUGCAUGGCUGAUCUUCAGUCUCAGGAGAUGCUGAUGUGUCCAGUGUGCUCGCUCAUUCUUUAGACCAUCCAAGACAAUUGUCCGUCUCUAGAAAGGAGAACCUACCGUUUCUACUGUUCCCUUGGGCUAUUAAUGUUAGGCAAUUCUUUAUACUCCCUUCGUUCUAGUCGUUUUAGUAUUUUUAGUUUCAUCUAGAUAUAUGGGAUGUUUGGGGCUAAAUUUUAGUCGCUAUCACAUCGGAUGUUUGGACACUAAUUAGGAGUAUUAAACAUAGACUAAUUACAAAACUAAUUGCACAACCUCUAAGCUAAAAUGCGAGACGAAUCUAUUAAGCCUAAUUAGUCCAUGAUUUGAUAAUAUGGUGCUACAAAUAUGGUGCUACAGUAACCAUUCGCUAAUGAUGGAUUAAUUAGGCUUAAUAGAUUCGUCUCGCGAUUUAGCCUAGGGGUUCUGCUAUUAGUUUUGUAAUUAGCUCAUGUUUAGUCUUCCUAAUUAGCAUCCAAACAUCCGAUGUGACAGGGCUAAAGUUUAGCCCCUGUUUCCCAAACACCCUCAUAGUAUAUGUCUAGGUGCAUAAUAAUAUCUAUGAAUCUAGAAAAAUUAAAACGACCUACAAUUUGUAACGGAGGGAGUAGUAAAAGUCAAUCUCUGUAUUACUUUCUGAUAACGAUUAGUCUAAUUAUAUGCAUUUACUAUAUUCUUAUUUAUUUGAAGUGUAUUUAAUUUCUUAGCAAUUCAUAGUAUAUAAUUGAUGCUUAUCAUAUUUACCAUACCACCUUUUUUUUGUAAGAUUAUGUUGAUUUACGUUGCCACAGACAUUGGAAAUACUACCAUGCAUUUUAUAUUUGCUUUGCUGGGUUACGGAGCUACUUGAUUGUCAUCAUCCCGAUAAGUAUGUCCGCUGAUAAGAGAUGACGUUACGAGUGAACAGACCUUUGCUGUGGAAGCGAAAGAUACUCUUGCUUUUGCUGUAUUAUUGUGCUUUGAGUAUGGUUUUGUCACGCAAGACUCGCUGAUUGUUUGUGGUGUCUUGCUGAUCAAUCCCACGUUGACAUGCUGCAUAUCAUGCAAAUCAUGAAGCGACUCGAAUCUCAUUUCUCGGAAUUCAAGCCUACACACCUCCGUGAUAAUUUCAGAAAAACUAUCACAUGCGAAUUCCUAUCUCAGAUAGUAUAAAUUCAUACCAACAUAGAAAUAUAGAAUAGCAACAGAGUCACAGUAUCAUAAAUAUCGAGUACAUUACUUCGGCACAUACCAGUAUAAGUCCAUCAGGAAUGAAUCAUGAAAGGUAAAACAUCUACGCAGCGAAAAUAUGAGCUAUAGCGAGCAUCAUCUCCAGAGGCGACUUGAGCGAGGGACCAUCCCUAGUCUUCCCAUCCAUUAUUGUCAAAGUCGUAGUCGGGCUCUGACCCUGAAAUGCCACCAUCUACCCGAGAAGCGGGUAGGCCAUGUCAACUCCCAAUAGCAGAAAGCCAAGGAAUUGGGGAAUAAUACUAUAUGAUGCAACAGCAGUAGUCAAGGAUGCAUCAAAGCAAUACCAUCUCCGAGGUCAACACCUCACAUCAAGGAAGUCAUCAUAAAUCACUAGAUCCUUCACCCAACAAUCCAGCACCCAAACACACUAGGCAAUGUGAGAGCUUCCACCCUCCACAUCUCAACGGCAAAUGCAGUCUAUCUCAAAAAGGAAGGUGGAAGUAUAAUAUAAGUCUAGUCAGAAGCAACGGUAGUCAACAGUACUAUCCAUAACCAGUGCACACGGACUAUAACUAUAGAUUUAUAUACUUUGUAGAGGUUGUACACUGUACCUGCACGGAUGGAGCCUGAACAGUAGCGUCCAAACCCCACCUAACGGCCGGAGCCCUAAUAAGUGGAUAGUACUCUCCUGUUUCCUCGAGUCUAGAACCGUCCUCAACUGCAGGGCAUGCCGUCACCAGUUGAGGAUCUCGAAGCUAUGAAACCUACCAACGUCGGGGUGCAGUCUGGUAAGAGCAUGUCAACGCCUCGAACUCUUUACACUAAUCCUCCAAUCCGCCUACAGGCUGAGCAUCAAGCGGAGAUGGGUGGAGCGGCGUCGCUCGAGGUGAGCGCGGCUGUGGGCGCCCACGCACAUGGCAAGGGGAAAAGGGCUUCUGGAAGCCUCCCUUGCCUCGGUCGGGCCUGCUGACGGGAGAUGCGGCCGUGGGUGCGGCGUGCUGCUGGGCGCUCAUGUGGCGUGUUGCUGGGCAAGGAAAGAAUGGGGGAGGGAGAGAGCGGCCGGGCGCAAAGGAAAAAGCAGAGGAGCAGCGGUGUCCGUGCAGGGAGGAAGAAAAAGGAACAGGGCGAGAAAGAGACGGCCAGGUGGGGCCUUCUCGUCAGCGACUAAGGGGCGCUCGUGUGCAAAGUUAGUCAUACUAGGUUUUUAUAAUUAAGUUAGUUUUAGUUUGUAUUUUGAGUUAGAUUCAAAAUACAAACACACCUUUGAGAACCAAAUAAAAUCCAAAUCACUCGUGACAAGCAUGUUUUAAAUUUAAAUGCACAAAUUUAAUUACUAACUUUCAAAUUUAGGGAAAGAAAUGAGGGUUGACUUUAAGUUUGACCAUGUAAUUAUAUGAAACACACAUUUAAACAAAUUUUUUUAAAUUUUUGCAAAAACUGGCACAAUUAAUAACACUCAAUUUGUAAGGAUACUACAUAUCAACUCUGCAUGGGUGUAGUAUAAUUCCUGCAUUAUAUAUGUCAAAUGAUAUGAUGGUGCCUAUCCAGUAGCAUAGUAGUAUUACUCAUUCCAAUCCUAAAUAUACUAAAUAUAUGACGUUUAUGAUAAAUAAAUUACUUUCAUAUUCAUAGAGCGAUCAAUUGUUUGUCAAAAGGAUUGUCCCAGCGAAACAAAACACACGAUAUAUAUUUAUGAACGGAGGAAGUAUUAGUUUGUGUGAUUCUAAUCGUGUUGAAGUCAUGCAUGGAGAGAGAUGCAACAAGACGAGAAUACGAUCGAUUGGUUGGGGACACGUUGGGCAGGCAACAUCACAGGACGAUGCAUGAUUGGAGUAGCGCGAUGCUAAGCUGGUAGGGGUGUGACUUAAGUGGAUAAAGUUAGAUUAGUCAUAUUUGGUAAUAAUAUAUAGGCUUUGCAUUGCUUGAUAUACGAGCCGUCGUGUACGUGUGUGGUUAUUUUAUUUUUUUUGCUGGUGAUUUCUUAUAUAUGUUGCUUGGUAUACGUACGCUACAGCAUGUACAUGCAUGAUUGUUUGCUUUUGCUUGCUGGUUUGUUCCAAGAGGGCAAUCUAUGAUUGCUACUAAGCCUCUUUGUGAGAGACGGGACGUUGUAAACUUGACGUCACCAACACAGGGAGGGUUAGAUCGAGAAACAUGGACAGAUGGCGACACAAUCUAUUUUUUUUCCUUACUUUGAAAGCUGUAGAAAAUCUCAGGCCAUGCAUCCUUAGCUUCUUGAAAAGAAAACGGAGAUAAUUACGAGUUGUCAACCAUAACACAUGUAUGAGGCAUGAACGAGAGGACUGGUUUUGAAUUAGUCACUGAUAGGUUUUUUUUCCUAGCAUCAUUAAAUACAUAUUAGAAACGGAGAAAAAGGACCCAUUUAUUAUUUGUAAAUAGGUCACAAGCACAGCCUGCUCAGAACUGCACAUUUGUAAAUAGGUCACAAGUUCGCAACAGAGCAAAAGCUACAGCACAGAGUAUGGGCUGCUGCGGCAGCUGCUUGAGGCUAGCAGCCGAGCGGCUGGGCUGCCAGUUGCAGCUGCAGCCGCUAAAGGCUGUUCCGAGCAGGCUAGACUAUGAAAUGUCAACCGUCUCAUGGGUUGAAUAAAAUGACAAUAUGAGGAUUAGCAUGUUUGGUUGGUCCUAUCACCUUUUGAUGUAUUCGUGAGAUGUUAGAAACGUGUAUAUGUAGGGAAAACCAUACCAUUUUUGUUAUUUUGUUUGUGUGAAACGGAUGAUGUACUGUUGCGAUACUAUAAGGGCUUGUUUGGCUGCCGGGGCUAAAUUAUAGCACAUGUCACCUUAGAUGUUUGGAUACUAAUUAGGAGUAUUAAAUAUAGGUUAAUUAUAAAACUAAUUGCACAGAUGGAGGCUAAUUCGUGAAACGAAUCUAUUAAGCCUAAUUAGUCCAUGAUUUGACAAUGUGGUCCUACAGUAACCAUUUAAUGAUGAAUUAAUUAGGCUUAAUAGAUUCGUCUCGCGAAUUAGCCUAGGGUUUCUGCAAUUAGUUUUAUAAUUAGCUCAUGUUAAAUCCUCCUAAUUAGUAUCCGAACAUUCGAUGUGAUAAUGGCUAAACUUUAACCUCUAGUAUCAAACAGCCCUAAAUUGCAGUUUCAACAAGUUUUAGUUUGAUUUGGUCUGAGCAAUAGGAAAGUUGAAGUUAGGGUCAGGGUUGCCUACCAAGGUGAACAGACGCGGCACCAACCUCCUCCCCUCCAGUCGAGUCGGUGGUGAGGUGGGGAGGAGGACACCUUGACCUGACCGCGUCGGCGCACGCUUACCAUUUAUUGCUACUUCCUAAUUAUUUUGAUUUAUUUAUUUACUACAUAACUAACUAACUAAAUAAAUAUGCAUACUUGAGAAAAUAAGAAAAAAAAAUCAAAGGAAAGGGGGGAAUAGAUAGAAGAUAGUUGUGGGUGGGGCCCACCGAAGCACGAAGAAGUUAGUAGCGGCGACAAGGAGGAAUAAUAACAAGCAGGAGUAGUAGUAUUUCAAUUUCUUUUGGUCAGCCGUGGGUGGCGUCUUCUUCCCGUCCUCCUCCUCCCUGCGCUUCCCUCUUUCGCCGCCCCGCCGAGGAUUCCAGCGCCGCCGCUAAUUGCGAGAGCCCGCCGCGCACGCAGCCAACCAGCCCCCCGAGGAUUGGAUUCCGUUCCAAUUCCACCCGCGGGGGAAGACGAAGAGGACUUCCAUCGAUUCCACCGGUAAUAAUAAGGUAAGAAGCCAACGGCACUGCCCCUCCCCCCUCCUCCGCCAUGACCGGACCAUCCACCGGUACGGUGUGUGUCAUUGGAUUCCAUUCCCUUCGCCUGGGGUGGGGGCGUGAAUUUCUCUUGUCGUGUUGCCGUCCGCCUCGUUAAUCCCCCCAAAGAGCACAGCUGGGCCACCUCCCUUCCCCCCCUUUUUUAAAUUUGUUUUGUGCUUGUAUAAACUAGCAAAUACUAUUUGGAUCUUGUUUUCGAUUAUUGCUCGCUCCAGUCCGGGGGCAGGCAGGCGAGGCUGGCAGGUUGGCCCUUCUUCCACCUCCCUCCCUCCCUCUGCUGCUGCUUCCUUGGGUUGCUUGGAUUCAUCGCCACCACCUUCCUUGCUGCUGCUGCUGCUUUCGAUUUCAUAAAUCUCUACACCAGUAAAUAUCUACUUCUAAUCAUCAAGUCAAGGGGGUUCCCUCCCGGCGAUCGCCUGCACGGAUUUGCAAGAAUUCCCCAAUCGAUUUGGGAGUUGAUUCUUACUUGUUCUUGGUGACUAACCAAUAUGAAUGCGCUCCAAUUCAACUCUUCCGUCUUCUCCAAGUUUAAUUGACCGGGUCUGCUGCUGUUGCCGCCAGGUCAAGCAAGCAGCAGAUACAUAGGCGGGCGGGCGCGGGGGAUCUCAUCCCAUCUCAUCCGCUUCCGCUCAGGCUGGCUCUGAGCCCCGCGCCGAUUCGGUUCCACGCGCCCCAACAGAACCGAAUAUCACCAGCACCUGCAAGGGCAUGUGACAGCCGCCGCCGCAGCCGCAGGCAAUGUGCUCCGACAUGGAUCAGCACCACCACCACGCAACCAGGUACUACUACUGUCUCUGCCCUUCCUUCCAUUGGACUCCUCAGCCUCCUCUGGAUUGUAACCCAUUCAGAUUAACUAAUCUAGUCCUGUGCGCCACCUGCCUCAAUGUUUGACUCUGCUCCUGCUCAGCCAGGUGUAUUAUCAUGUUAGUUGGAUCUCUUUGCACAAUACUUACUCUCCCCUAGUAUGUUGCAGCACGAAUGCAUCGGUCACUUGUUUGUUUCUUUGCCAACCAGCUAAGCCUGCACUAGAGCUUUAUUUAGUUUUGGAUGGCCCAAUAGAUAGCACAGGUAUAUGCUGCCCCUGAAUUAUCAUCUUCUUUAUUCUUGCCCAACAAACAGGGAGGCUGCGUCGGAGGUUUUACAUGCUAAUGGUGACCAUCGCAGUCUGCAUGCACCACAUCAUCUCGGACAGAAUCAGCCUGGGGAUACCAAUAAUAACCAGCAUCCAUCCACAGAUGACUGUUUUACCUCCAAUGCUUCAUGGCACAGAAAUGGCGGGAUGAGCCGCAAUCCAUCUGCAUCUUCUGUUGACAACCACUCGGUCAAGUCUGGGGAUGAUUCUGAUGGGGCUGAGAGUACCAAAGGCAGUGAUACGGAGAUUUCACGCCUGCUAAACGAUACCAUCUGGAUGCCACCUGAGGCCGCAGAUAAGGAGGAUGAGGCCGAGAGCUUCGACGACGAUGAUUAUAGCGACGGGAUCAAGUGGGGCCACUCAAGUUUCCCGUCCCCUGGUAAGGAACAUGACGCCAGCCCGAGCAAUCCGAGGGAGGAGCGGGAGAAGGCGAUGCUAGAAGCUAUGAAUGGCCAGCUCAAGAUACUUGUAAGCCGCUUCCUGGCAUCUGCUGGCAUCUCUUCUUCCAAGGAAGAGGGUAGCGACAGUUGGCUUGACAUCGUCACCUCCCUAUCAUGGGAAGCAGCGCUACUUAUUAAACCUGACGGUACCAUGGGAAAGGACAUGGAUCCUGGAUCUUACAUCAAGGUCAAAUGCAUAGCAUCUGGUACUCGCCGGCAAAGGUGAAUACAAUUUUUCAGCUAACCCUUUGUUUUCAGACCAAUGGAGUUUCUAUUUUUGGUUCAACCUUCAAACUGUAUCCCUUCACCUGGCAAUGUACUGGUUGCAGUGAGGUGAUCAAGGGGUUAGUCUUCAAGAAGAAUGCUGCUCAUAAGCACAUGCCGACCAGUUACCACAGUCCUAGGCUUCUGCUUCUCAAAGGAGUCCUUGGGCAUUCUGAUGUCGGUUUGUCAUCAUUUAAUUCAAUGGAUCAGGUUGGACUUCACAUAUCUAUAUGCACACAAAUAGUAAACCUACUCUGUAUUGUUGCAUUGAGGGAUAACACAUUUCUAUUUUCUAUGCCUUCAAUAAUUAGGAAAAGGACCUUUUGGAGAGAGCUAUUGGUAAAAUGAUGGAGAUGUGCAGUCCUAAUGUUGUUAUGGUUGAGAAGACUGUUUCACGAAACAUACAAGAACUCCUUCUGAAAGAAGGCGUCACGCUAAUUCUUGAUAUGAAGCUCAACCGGCUAGAGAGAAUUGCACGUUGUACGGGUUCUCCCAUAAUCUCCUUUUCAGAAUUUUUAAACAAACCAAAGCUGAAGCAAUGUGACUACUUCCAUAUCGAGAAAUUUACUGAGGAGCAUAACACCACCAGUGAGGGUGGAAAGGUGCCAUCUAAAACAUUGAUGUUCUUGGAAGGCUUUCCAUGUCCAUUGGGCUGCACGGUAUGUAUAGUGUGCACUCAUCUUAUACUCAAUUCAGUACAUUCGAUGUGCACUGAUAACACUCAAUUGAUUAAAUAGCAAGUUCCAAACUGAUUAGUAUUUUACACAUUUUGGAUUGAUAUUUACAGUAACUGUGGUUUCUUUCUCGUUCAGAUAUUGCUCAAAGGAGCAAAUAGCGAAGAAUUGAAGAAAGUCAAGCAAGUCAUGCACUUCACAGUCUUUGCAGCAUACCACUUGAUCCUUGAAACUUCUUUCUUUGAAGAUCAAAGGGUUUUUCUUAAUGAUAAAAAUAUUCCAAAAGAAAACUCUGUUAGUUCUAUGGAAGGGCUAUCAACAACUGCUUUUGAUCUUGCUGCUCUUGGUGGUGCUAUCCCUAAUUUUCCUUCACAUGAUGACUCUCCAGCACUUCGAUUGUUCCAUCCCACUUCUAAUAGCUAUGUCGAUGUGAACAAAACUUUGAGAUCUCCAAGAAAUUUAGAUGCGCCGAGUUCAAUAACCAGCAGCUCUGAUCUUCAAGAAGGUGCAAGCAUCCGGUAUGACUCAAGUCCAUCCACUAAUUCUGAGAGGAUAGCAUCAGGAGUCCCAGGACCGCUGAGGAAAUUGUUUGCAGACAAUUUAUGUCACCAGAAUAUUUAUUUACCUGUUACGUCAUUGCAAGAGACAAAUGAUAAACAGAAAGAAGUCAGGGUUCAAUCCAGUCAAGAAACUCUUAGUAAUGGUUUUCAUACUCCAAAGGUGGAAGAGUCUGCGGUUUCCAGUGAAAAUGAGGAGUCCACAAAUGGUACCCAGAAACAAGAGAUUACUCAAGCAAUCAUGCAAACAGGUUCCUCUGCAAGUGAUAAAAGUGGAGAAUCACCUGCUACGGUAGAAAACGGAGCACAUAGCGGCACCAGUAUUGUUAUCAAAGAGAGAGAUGUUGAUGACGAUCAAGCUGAUGAAGCACUUGAUUCUCACAGCAUACUGAUUUUAAUGUCUAGCCAGUGCACAGAAAAGCAGAUUAUUUGUGAACAGAGCCAUUUAACCCGUAUAAAAUAUUAUGGGAAUUUUGAUGUGUCAUUGGGGCGGUAUUUGCAAGAUAUUUUGCAGAAUCAGGUAGCACUAUUUUCUUCGUUUUCUUUCAGUGUUUGCUCUUACGUGAAAUAGCCAUAUUUUGCGUUAGUAAUACAACUUGAUUGGUUUAAGAUUAAGACUCAGCUUGUUAAUUUUUUAUUCUAGCAGAAACUGAGCUGCUCCUCAUGUGGAGAGCCUCCAGAAUCUCACAUGUACUCCUACACUCAUCGAAAUGGAAAUUUGACCGUGCUAGUGAAGCGGCUUGAGCCCCAACACCAUUUGCCUGGCGAAUCUGAAGGAAAAAUAUGGAUGUGGACUAGGUGCUCAAGAUGUGAUCACGAACAUGGGAUAUCCAAAUCAACUCCAAGAGUAUUAAUAUCAGCUGAAGCGCGCAAUCUCUCAUUUGGGAAGUUCCUGGAACUUAGUUUUUCAAGCCAUUCUGCAGCCAGAAGGUUAUCCAUAUGUGGACAUUUGGUGAACAGGGAUUGCUUGCGCUUUUUUGGGUAUGCUACGCAUAUAUACAUUUUACACAUACAAAUGAUUUAAAUAGAACUAACUCCUUGCUAGCCUUUAGGCUGUAGCAUGGCAUUGCCAUGGAAACUAUUGUUUUUCCAGUGUGGUGAUGGAUACAUCUGGUUUUGAUUUCAGGUUGGGCUCUAGAGUUGCUAUGUUCCGGUAUUCAUCAGUUAAAAUUUACACUACCUGCAAACCACAACCCACUCUCCAGUUCAUCAACCCCAUCAGACAGGAUUGGUUCGAAGGGCAAAGGAGACAUGUAUGGCUUAUUCUCUUUACCAUUUCGUUUGUUAAUUAUCUUCAGUUCACGUGCAGUGGUGUCUAACUUUUAUACUGUAUCUUUCAAGGUUCAUGCUAGAGGUGUGACACUUUAUUCUAAGGUUGCAACCUUGCUACAAAAGUUGAAGAAUGAACAUUCUGAUGUGAUAAGAGUUGCAAUCAAUUGUGGCCUCUCACUCCCUAUUAAGGACUUUGCUGAACUCGAAGAGUUGUUGAUCAAAGAAAAGGCUAGCUUUGAGGUAGGUACCCUUGCAUUAAUUUCUGUUAUCAUAGGUCCUACAUAAUUGUUCUUUUCAUUACUGUUUAUUAGUUUGUCAAUAUCUGUAUCGUUAUGCAGGGUUCUCUGGACAAGGCCAUUGACCAAAAUGGGAGACCAUCCUCAUCUGUGCAAGAACUUUUGAAUAUAAAUUGGUCCUAUCAGGACCUUCUACUCAGACUUUACAUAUGGGACCGUCGUCUACAUCAGCUUUUCUACUGUAAAUCUGUUGGGCUAGAAACUGCUGCUAAUUGCAAGAACCCUGCUGAUAUUGUGAACGAGAUUUCUGAUGGCAACUUUGAAAUUGGUAAGAAAAUCAGUCGAUUCACAUAUAAUGAAACUAUGACAGCUUUUGUGGCAGCAAGGGUCACUGAGUCUGCAAGUAACAAACUUUACCUUGACCAUCAAUCAGGUGACACUGGAGCACCCUCGCUUGAUGGAAAUCUGGAAGCUGGGAACUCUGAACUUUCUUGCAAUGGAGGCAGUAAAGAUGAAGAAUCUUCCAUUGGUCCUAGUCAAAUAGAUGUAGAUAGCACAACAGAAGCCCCCAAAGUUCCUUGUUUUGAGAUAUCCAAUGAGAAGGGGGUCCAGAGAAAUGUUACAGUGGCAGACACAAUACCUGUGGAACAGGAGCCAUCUAGCAGUCCCCAACAGUUCAAAUAUCAAUAUUGGGAUAGCACAGAAAGGUGGAUUUGGAAUCCAAUUGAUGAAUCUCAAUUGGCUUAUAGGAAUGACAUUCAAGAUGGAUAUUUGGAUGAAUUUGAAAUCGUUAACCAUUAUAAACCAUCUUACCUGCCUCCCUUGUUUGAACAGCAAGACGAUGCAUACCCUCCGCAGUUCACAGUUGGUCCAGGUAGUAAUAUUCUGUGUGUACAGGAGGAUGAGAUAUCAAGCAUAAUAGCUCGUGCUCUUGCCAUGUCUGAUGAACGUCACCAUUUAAAAGAUUCCUCUUUCGAGAAUGAGAUGGAGAACUACAGGGGAGAGCAUGCUAGAACGAUGGAGAAAUCUUUUAGUUUUAUGUCUGCAAGUUCGUACAGCUCAUCACAAUGGUCAUCUACUGGAUCUCAAGAAUCUGAAGCUAGCUUGUCAUCUAUCUCGUCAAUUGCAUCUGACGAUUUCUCUGGUUAUGAUAGCUCAUCCUUAUUGUCUCCAGCACAUCCAGAAAUAACCGUCAACGGGAAAGUAACUUUCAGAGGCAAAUACUCGGUCACUAGUAUAUAUGCUAAUGAAUUCUAUGAAUUAAGAAAGAAGUGCUGCCCAUCUGAGCUUGCAUAUAUUACUUCUUUGAGCCGCUGUAAAAAGUGGGAUGCUCAAGGUGGAAAGAGCAAGGCAUUUUUUGCAAAGACAAUGGAUGACAGGUUUAUCAUUAAGCAAAUCAAGAAAACAGAGUUUGAAUCAUUUAUUGAAUUUGCUCCUCAUUACUUCCAGCAUGUUUUCCAUUCCCUGGACACUGGAAGCCAAACUUGUCUUGCUAAAAUAUUAGGAAUCUAUCAGGUAAUUUAUAUCAACAGCUCGAGCUUGAUUUCAGUUCAUCUUCCAGGCUUAUUUUUUUAUGUGGUCUCACUUGCCUUUUACAGGUUAAGCAUAUUAGGCAUGGCAAAGAGGUAAAGAUCGACCUGAUGGUGAUGGAGAAUCUUCUCUUUGGCCACAAUAUUUCACGGAUUUAUGACCUCAAAGGCGCUACUUUUUCACGUCGCGUUGCUGACUCAAAUGAUCAUGACACUGUUUACCUGGACCAAAACUAUGUUGAGGACAUGGGUGUUUCUCCAAUCUAUAUUGGUGGAAGAACAAAGCAUCUUUUGCAGCGUGCUAUCUGGAAUGACACGGCUUUUCUCACUGUAUGUAUAUCUUUGCCACAAAUCACUUGUAAUUAUGUUUUUUCAGCAAAAAUAUUUUUUUAACAUAGUUGUUGUGCUUGCAGUCGGUCAACGUCAUGGACUAUUCUCUUCUUGUUGGAGUGGAUAAACAAAAGCACGAACUUGUAUUUGGCAUCAUUGAUUAUCUGAGACAAUAUACUUGGGACAAACAACUGGAGACAUGGGUGAAGACUUCUCUGGUAGUACCCAAGAAUGUUUCACCAACCGUAAUUUCCCCCAGGGAGUACAAGAAAAGGUUUAGGAAGUUCAUGGCAAAGUACUUCCUCACAGUUCCAGACACUUGGAGUCCUGAUAUUCCUUCUAAGCAGUGCAAAUCCAUUGGUCAUAGCAAUCACAAGUCGGUAGAAGUCCAGAAUGGUGAUAGCCUGCUUCAGCAUCCAAAUGAGGCUGAGGCAUGUGCCUGAUCCUAUGCAGGACCUCCUGGCAGUUUUCUUGAAGCCUAUUCAGUUAUCAUUUGGCUAAUUUUUCAUUUUUGUAAAAUGGUGUACAUAGGAGGACCUCACUGUUGAUCUAUCCAAAAGUUUGCAGCUUUUAGGCAAAUUGUUGGGGCAUGUGAGGUCCACAAGACAUGUACCUAUACAAAUGUUCAUUGUUAAUUUCACAAUUAUUAUAGUGAAAUUAAAAAAAAUUCAUAUGAUCAUUUUUUGGACCCAUCACCUAAGAGUCUGAAGCAGUCUUCUGUCCAAGAUAGAAAUUUUCUAUCGCUGUUGAAUUAGAUCAAUUUGAGUACCAUUUUGUCCUAUUUACCUCAAUGUGGCUGCUGGCAUCUGGAAGGGGAGGAGCAGCAUAAUGCUCCUGAUCUUGCUGCACACGGUACAAUGUAGUUUUUCCUGUAUGCCCCCCUUCACUUUUUUUUGCUACUGUACAGUAUACAAGUUUGUCAGAACACCAGGUACGGUCCAUACUGCUAGCUAUUUUCUUUCAUAAAACGAAUUCUAUGGGUGAGAUUAAGUUGCUUGUUUGUUCUAUAUUCUGUCUUUUCCUGGAAUAUUACUGCGAUAUGUAUACUCCAAAACUGUUCUUAGAUCUUCAGAGAUAAAAAUUUAAUUUGGUUUUGUCCUGUUCAUUUUCAGACUUCUUCCCUGGGGAAAGUAGCUGCCUGGUGAUGUGCAUGGAGGAUAAUGUCCAGUUGGGGGUUAUAUUACUAUAAUCCUGAUCAAUGAGCUGAUGGCAAGAGCUUUUCAUGUGUGCCAAAACCUGCUUGAAGAAGUACCAAAACCUGCUUGAAAAAGUGAUCAUUGUGUCUGUUUCAGAAAGAGCCAUUGGAUUUGGUGGAUUGAUGAAGGUCAGCUUUUCCCAGCACAGGCGGCGUCCCAACCCCAAAGUGUGGAAUAUGGAUUGCGGUGCUGCUGCUUACCAUGAUGUAUCUUAUCUUUUUGGCUUUUUGGCUCUGGAAGGCACAGGUCAAUCAAUUUGGCAUUUCAACCGGUCGCAGAAGCUGAUUUUGGUUGGCUCACAAGAGGUCCACAAGGUGAUCAUCCUGUUCCAGUUCCAGAAGGCUGUUUCUCUCAUCAUCACAGAAAGCAAAUGGUGACUGUCUUCAGAGAUCAAAGAGAAGCAUCUCAAGACAAGAACCUCACGAAGGUCACAAAAGGUACCAUCUCUCUAGUUCCUUCCCUUGUUGUCUAUCUUAGCAACAUGAGCAAUCUUUACGCUACCAUUCAGCAUAUUCUUGAACUGUUGGGGCGAUAUGAUCCAUGAUAAUGAAAGCAUAAGCCUACCAUCGAAAACAAAAACAAGCAAAAAGAAUGACAACUAUAAAGGCUAAUUUCCCCUCUGUUUUUUUCCAUUCCUUUUUGUCUCCUAUGUCUAACAAGUUGGCCACAUCUCUAUAGCCCUUUUCCAGUUAUAGAAAAGGUACAAAGAGUUGGUUUUCCUUUUUCCGAGGUCUGAUUGGUGGCGCUUGCAGAUUCUCCUUUUCACCAUCAACUAUUAUAAUAUCUAAAAGAUAUGUUGUAUUAAAAAAUGCUAGAGAUAGAUAUGUUCUGGUUCUGGUUCUGAUUCUGGCAAAUAGGGGAACUAGGGAAGCAUACAAAUUAAAGACGAUCAUGAUUCGAUUCUGCAUGCACGAGUCAAGUAUGGACACCCUGACCCUACUAGAAUGGUAGCAGCUAGAGAGUAAACACAGCACAGCAGCGCACUCAAAUCGAACCAGAUGGAGAAGGAAAACAAGCAAACAAAAAAGCACCUUCCCUUGGGUUCCCUAGCUAGAAUUGUAGUUAGUCUUGUUGUAUCUACGGGCCGGUACUAGCAUACAAGAAGUGCUGAGCUGAACUUUUUUUUUGUUGUUUCAGGUAGCUAGCGAUGGCUGCAGAGGUCGGAGAGCAUCUUCCUGCCCUCGACGAUCUCGUCGAAGAAGUCGUCGAGCUCGACGAUGAGGCUCUCGGCUCCCGAUCGCAGCAUCCCAACCCAGCCAUUGAUGAUCUCGGCUCUCUGGGCGAUCUCGUCGUGGUCGCAGUAGCCCCCCAUGCGAACGACCCUGUCCAAAAGUCUUGCUUGAGGCUGUCGAUGGCUGCCCGGGCCUGGCGGAACUCGUACAUCAUGAUGCCUGCAGUAGAUGUAGAGUGGUGGUCGCCCACCACCCGCUGCAACCAAGGAUGGAGUCCCAUCUCCUGGGCGACGCGGUGUCGCAGGCGCGCCAUGGAGGCGACGUAGCCCGAGGUGGCGCGGAGGUGCUGGUGGGUGGCAGCAGCGGCAGCAGAAGAAGUGAGGAGGUCGGGGAGACAGGUGACGGUGCCGGAGAUGAGGAGGACGAGGAGGAAGGAGGUGGCGUUGCGGAGGGCGUAGAGGACUCCGCGGAACCCGUUGAAGGCGUUGAGCUUGAAGUCCCUUGGGGAGCGGGCGUCGAGGAGGAGGGAGGCCGGGUCGAGCCUUGCGUCGGCGAGGGCGCGGUUGUCCUGCUGGAGUCCGGCGGCGUGUCGCCUGGGUGCGUUGAUGGCGCGCAUGAGGUGGUGGUGGUGGUGGUGGUGGUGGUGGUGCGGUGCGGCGGAGGCGGAGUAGAGCGGCAGCCAGUCGUGGACGGCCGGGGCGACGCGGGCGGCGGAGGCGCAGUAUGCGUCGAGCGCGGAGGCGCCGGCACGGGCGAGCUGGCAGGCGUCCCAGAGGCGGGAGGUCUCGUCCAUGUACUCGUCCAGCCACCGCUCGCCGGGAGGGAGGUGGAGGCGCUGCACCACGUGGAGAAGCUGGGAGUGGAGGGAGCGGAGGAGGGAGGCGGCCUGCUGGAGGAAGGGAGCCGAGAGGCACGCGUGCGGGCUGCGGUGGAGGGCGUCGAGGCCGUGCGCCAUCGCCGAGUAGAACCCGCCGUGCGCCAUUGCUGCUGAUGGUGUCUGGUGGUGCUGGGAUGCUGGUGGAAGAACUGUGACAGCUGGUGUGCAUGGUGCUGGGCGCUGGGUUUUAUAGAUACUCCAUCCACAAUGGGAGUGGAAGGCCAAGGAAAAGAAGAGGAGGCCGUGUAAUGCCUCCUGCUAAUGAUGGGGUGUCUGAUGCGCAGGGGGAAGGAUGAUUGUUGAGGAGAUGAUGAAUCGGACUGAAUUCGAUCGAUCCAUCCUUCCUUUCCUCUGUUUCCUCAUGACUCCAUUACUACGAUGAGAUGAGAUGAAACGAGACAGGGGUCGCCGUGCUGCUUCUCCUCUGUCGGUCCAGGGGGUGGAUCAUCCACCCUUUGCUCUGUUUGCUCAUGCAUGCAAUGCAACGCCGUGUUGUGUUGGGUUUAGCUGGAAUGUCUGUACCAAGCCCAGAUUGUUCACCAAGUAGCUAGUAGGUGUAGGCAAUAAAACUCAUUAUUAUACAUCUUGGUCAUCUGAGUUUGUUGAGCGUUUAUGUUGUUGUUGAACAAAUACUCCUAAACUGUGGAUGCAUGCACAGCACAGAUGCUACUUGUAGGACAAACAAAGUUUCAAAGGCGGGCAGGGAGUCCAAGAGAUUUGUCUUUUCCAGCCUAGAGUCUAGAGCUACUAGAGUCCGGUAGAGGAAUGAGUGAUUGGGUAUAUUCAAGGUAGGAAGCAGGGGUGAUGGCGGCAGCAGCAGCCUAGCUGGAAUGAUGGGUCUCCUUGUACCCGUACAAAUCUCUCUGGCCGCUACAAGCGCCUCCCCGCCUUUUGAGGCAUCCCUCCCUCUUCACCCGGGACGGGGCCUCCCAGCAAUCAUGCCUGGAUAUGUGCCCGUGCCCUGCCUCCCCUUCUUCUCCUCCUUACUACUACUCUAAUGCCAAAGCUUCAAAUCUUCAGUUGCUCAUCGGCCGUCUAAUCGCACGAUCAAGGGCUCGGAUCAUCUCGAUUACAUAAUCAUUCCACGGUCGUCCCCAAUGAUGGUGGUUAAUUACUCCAAUUUUGUUGCCGCAACUAGAGUGCUUAAUUAGUCCAAAAUAAACUAGAGUAGGAUUCCAAGGAAAGGAACUGGUCCAAGUAGGAGUAAGACCUGUCUUAAUAGGAGUUUUGUAGGAGUGUCAUGAACAUUAAAUUUGUUGCCACAUCAGUAAAACUGUUGAUUUGGCAAGGUCAUCACGAAGGGAAGUUAGUUUCAUCCCCAUGAUACUCAACUGGCAUGGUUACCAAGUUCUCGAUCUUAGUAACUGACCUAAAUGUUAUGUUAACAAGAGCCUAGUGCCGCCUAGGUGCUCGUGGGGUUUGGGAGGACGAGAGAGGGAUUUGGAUUUGAUUGGGGAAAUCAAAGGGCAUGUAUGUUAGGUUGUUUGCCUUUGCCUUUGGCCCUCCCUCCCAAGCAAUGCAUGCAUGGUUAACAAAUAUAAUGCCAGUACUUAAUUAUCAACUACUAAUAUACUAUAGGAGUGUAGUAAGAUUGAUCAUCGAUGCAUGGAUCAUGUUUGAAUAUUUGUUACAUACUACCAGGCCAUCAGUCUCGUAAGUAGUACUACGUUGAAUGCCGAUCGAGACUGACUCUGACUGGACCAGAAUACAACAACACACUCUCUCGAUCACUCCACUAGAGGACAUGCAUGCAUGAUGCAUUGGAACGCCUUCAUGCAUGUAUAUAAACAAUAAUGCUCCUGCGUGGCCGUGGUUGACCGGUAGGCUCCACGCCACUCAUCACGCCGCCGGCCCUAGCUCGGAUGACCAUGAACAUAUGCUAAGAAUAUGGUAUUCCAAAUGAACCUAGCCAUAUGGCAAUUGAAAAACAAAUGGUUUAUGCUUUCAUUUGCAUUGCAGAAACAACACUUAGGACUACCACGCCAAUGUCUCUUUGGCCAAAUUAUCUUUAGUUAGAAUCACACCUUUCUUCAAGUACCAAAGGAAAAUUUUAAUCUUUAGAGGAAAUCUUAUCUUCCAAAGAUCACUUUUUCUUGGUAAAGCAUCUUUGUGUAUCAAUGCGGAAUACAUCGAAUGAACAGAAAAGAUGCCAUUCUUGUGCAAACCCCACCUAAAGAUAUCUUCCUCCUCGCAUUCAAACUAACAGCUACCACCUUGGAAACUAGUUCGUAUACCAUGCUGCUAGCUUGUCUCCUACUAAAGCUCAUCGAAAAGAAAUAUUGAACUUAGCACACUUGCCACUGUUACAAACUUUUUCCUCACAAUUCUGUACAGCAUAGGAUAAGCUAACGCCAAUGGUUUAUUUGUCACCAAUCCAAAUCCAAAGGUCCUCCCAAAAUCUAACAUCAAUGGUGUAUGGUACUCCUACUUGAUACCAAUGCAAGAGAGGCUAGAGAGCAACAUGCAUGCCACAAGGUAAUAAUGAUUUGUCAACGUACACUGCCAAAAACAGAGCAACAUAAAAGUCUGUUUCUGUUUGCGUGCAUGUGUGAGUAGUAAUCGGAUACCGUGGAUAGUGUACCACUCCACUGUAUGUGUUUAUCCGAUCUGGAACAGCCAGCGCAGCUUGGGGGCACUCAGUCGUCUAGUACUGGACUAUGAUGCCGUCACGGCGCUAUGUUCCGUAUUCCGCCAACAUUUAGCCCCUUGCAUAACUUCCAAGUUUACUGUGGACCGAGUAUGCAUAUUCCAUUUGUAUAAUUGAACAGCAGUGCCAUACGAAGAACACAUGGAUGCAUGGUAGAAAUUUCAGCAGUAUAAUAAUGAUGAUAUGCAUGAUAUAGGUAGGCCUGCAUGGUGUGUAGGUGUAGGGCGGCUGAUGGCUCUUGACCGAAAACUUUGGGAGGUGCUUCUGCUUGCACUACAGUAGUCUACAGAUAGACGAGGAGCCAGAGUCACGCGCAAGCAGCAGCCUUUGCUGUUGGUGCAGCGAGUGAGAUAUGAUACUCACACUCUCAGAGCAGAGAAGAGAAUCAUGGAUGCAACAGAAUAGAGUAGAGUAGAGUAGAGCUGCUAGCUGGCCAUGCAUAAGGCUGCAAUUGCAAUGUAGUACUGGUAUCAUGCUGCAUCAUCCAUCAGUCUUCGAUUGCAUAUUUGCAUUGCACCACCAUGAUCGAUCCACGUCAAUCAGGAUCGAUCAGCUGCCUGCCUUGCAAAUUACAAGCAGUCAAGCAUUGUAUUCAUCCAUGACCCUUUCAAUGAAGCAUAUACGAUGCGUUUUUUUUUUUCAAACCAUGUAUAUGAAACCGAAUUGAGUUCGAGUUUGAAACAAGAGGCGACCUAGUAUCACCUUUUGACGGCCAAGUUGGAAAGACCCUCCUACCUUCCCCCUCUAUAAGACUAUAAGAGUAAGUAGUAGACUGUAAAGAAAGAAAGAAGGAAAGAAAGAUUAAAGUUGGCGCGCUUUUUGCCUUCCUUCCCCGAGCCAACACAAGAGGCCCAUGGCCAUGGGCGGGGCGAAUCACUCAUCAUGCUGUCAUUUCUGCAGCGGCUCGUUGUUUUUUGCCCGCCGCCUGCUCCGAUCGAUUGCCAACUCGAAAUCCAGAAAAUGUGUUGCAUGGACAGGAGGCAGCAUCCAUGGAUUGCCAUGGAGGAUGGAGCCCCCCUGCUCCUGCUCCUGCUCCUGCUCUUGCCCUGCAAAAGCCAUCGAGUGCCAUGCGAGUAAGUCUUGUCCCGUUUCAAACGUCUCCAAGAAAUGGAAUCAAUCCUCUGCUUUCUGAAUAUUUUGCCGCCGCAGAUCAUCGUCUCGUCGAUGAGAUGCCGCCAAGGCUAGCUUGUCGACCACCAUCAUCAUCGUCCUGCUAAGGGGGUGUUUGGAUACGAGGUGUUAAACUUUAACAGUGUCACAUCGGAUGUUCGGAUGCUAAUUAGGAGAACUAAACAUGAGGUAAUUAUAAAACUAAUUGCAGAACCCUGUGCUAAUUCGCGAGACGAAUCUAUUAAGCCUAAUUAAUCCAUCAUUAGCAAUUGGUUACUGUAGCACCAUAUUGUCAAAUCAUGGACUAAUUAGGCUUAAUAGAUUCGUCUCGUGAAUUACACUCCAUCUGUGCAAUUAGUUUUGUAAUUAACCUAUGUUUAAUACUCCUAAUUAGCAUCCAAACAUCCGAUGUGACAGGUGUUAAACUUUAACACUUGAUUGCCAAACACGCCCUAAAAUUGCACCCGAAUAGCGGAAUAGGAGGAGGUCCAAUCAAUCUCGACGUACAGCUUUCUCAAUCAGUCCGGACAAGAAAAUGACAAAAUGUAAUCUGAUAUAACAUUAGAGUAAAAUUUGCAAAAAUAUAUACGGAUAAACUAAACUACACAACAGUAAACCACAUGUUUAAGGUGUUCAACAAGGUUGUAAAUAAAUAGCAUUGGUGGCGACAAAGAGCCAAGACAAACGAAAAAACAGAGCUGUAGGUAGUAGCUGUAGCAGCGGCUAUUCUUCGUAGCAUUUUUUAAUAUUAAAAUACCUAAAAGCAACAAAUAUAUGCACAAGAAGAGCCAAGAUAGAAAAAAAAAUUACUUUAGAACCACUAAUCCCUUUCUUCCCUUCCAUAUCGGGAGGCUCUCGAUUUAAGCUAGAUCGAUCGAGAGCUCUCUCGUUUUAGUUUUUUUCGAAAGAAAAAAUGCCAGGAAAAAUGACAAGUAACAAAUUGGUACGAGGAAAUAACAAAAUCGAGUCACCAACUCCGGCGACGACUCCCACUCUGGCGAGCUCCGAUUCGGGUUAGGGUUUGGGGAUUAGGGUUAGGGUUUCAGGGUUUGGGGUUGGGGAGGGGAUAAUUUGUGCCUACGGGGUUAGAGGGAUGGCUAGGGAGGCGGCCGGCCCGGCGGAGCUGGUGGGGUGUGGGCGGUGGUGGCGCCGCCGGCCGGGUGGUGGAGAACAUCCGAUGGCCUGUGUAUGCGACGGGGGUGAGGAAGAGGAGUGGUUAGGAUGGGCGGGGGAGAGGGUGGGGUAGG